rnacentral:snoRNA from 1 species
GAAUGAUGAGAACUCAUAGCUGGCACCAGUCAGACGGAGAUGUUUUUACGAAUUCAUCUUCAAUGCUGAGUAGCUUGCGAUCGGGAAACGCUAUCCUUGAUCCUGAA